GAAUUCACUAGUGAUUCAGGCCUAACACAUGCAAGUCGAGCGGUAGAGAGAAGCUUGCUUCUCUUGAGAGCGGCGGACGGGUGAGUAAUGCCUAGGAAUCUGCCUGGUAGUGGGGGAUAACGUUCGGAAACGGACGCUAAUACCGCAUACGUCCUACGGGAGAAAGCAGGGGACCUUCGGGCCUUGCGCUAUCAGAUGAGCCUAGGUCGGAUUAGCUAGUUGGUGAGGUAAUGGCUCACCAAGGCUACGAUCCGUAACUGGUCUGAGAGGAUGAUCAGUCACACUGGAACUGAGACACGGUCCAGACUCCUACGGGAGGCAGCAGUGGGGAAUAUUGGACAAUGGGCGAAAGCCUGAUCCAACGAUGCCGCGUGUGUGAAGAAGGUCUUCGGAUUGUAAAGAAAGGAAGUUGGGAGGAAGGGCAUUAACCUAAUACGUUAG
rnacentral:rRNA from 1 species